UACAGAGGUCUCAAGCGUUGUUCGGAUUCAUUGGGCGUAAAGGGUGCGUAGGCGGCGCGGUAAGUCGGGUGUGAAAUUUCGAGGCUUAACUUCGAAACUGCAUUCGAUACUGCCGUGCUUGAGGACUGGAGAGGAGACUGGAAUUUACGGUGUAGCGGUGAAAUGCGUAGAUAUCGUAAGGAAGACCAGUGGCGAAGGCGGGUUUCUGGGACGGUACUGACGCUGAGACGCGAAAGCGUGGGGAGCGAACAGG
rnacentral:rRNA from 1 species